rnacentral:rRNA from 1 species
AGGACGAACGCUGGCGGCGUGCUUAACACAUGCAAGUCGAACGGUAAGGCCCCUUCGGGGGUACACGAGUGGCGAACGGGUGAGUAACACGUGAGCAACCUGCCCUUGACAUUGGAAUAACAGUUGGAAACAGCUGCUAAUACCGGGUAUGACCUGUCACCGCAUGGUGGUGGGUGGAAAGCCUUGGCGGUCAGGGAUGGGCUCGCGGCCUAUCAGCUAGUUGGUGAGGUAAUGGCUCACCAAGGCUUCGACGGGU